rnacentral:rRNA from 1 species
AGAAUCAACGCUGGCGGCGUGCCUAACACAUGCAAGUCGAACGAGAAAAUGGUAGCAAUACCAUGAGUAAAGUGGCGCACGGGUGAGUAACACGUGACUAACCUACCCUUGAGUGGGGGAUAACUGAGGGAAACCUUAGCUAAUACCGCAUAAUACCCACGGGUCAAAGGAGCAAUUCGCUCGAGGAGGGGGUCGCGGCCGAUUAGUUAGUUGGCGGGGUAAUGGCCCACCAAGACGAUGAUCGGUAUCCGGCCUGAGAGGGCGCACGGACACACUGGAACUGAAACACGGUCCAGACUCCUACGGGAGGCAGCAGUGGGGAAUUUUGCGCAAUGGGGGAAACCCUGACGCAGCAACGCCGCGUGGAGGAUGAAGUCCUUCGGGACGUAAACUCCUUUCGAUCGGGACGAUUAUGACGGUACCGGAAGAAGAAGCCCGGCUAACUUCGUGCCAGCAGCCGC